rnacentral:misc_RNA from 1 species
GGAAUUCUUGCCAGCUGACCCUCAUCAUCGAGGAGUACAAUGGCUUCUCCAUUAACGAAAUCUACCAAGCUUCUGAAGUCUACUUAAGCACAAGAAUCACCCCAUCUAUAGACCAGCUUAAGGUUUCCAAAGCUCAUCGAGAGAAGAACCUCUUUGUCACCAUUAACAAAGGGCAAAAGAUUAUGGAUGUGUUCGAAGGAAUCCAUCUGGUAUGGGAAUUUGUAUGCAAAGAAACACAAAACACAGUAGUUGAUUAUGAAAACUACUCUGAAUCCACAGAAAAAUCAGAACAUAGAUCAGUUGUGCUGAGUUUCGACAAGCGAUAUCAGGAGAAGGUUUUGAAGACUUCCCUGCCAUAUGUAUUAGAAAGAUCAAAAGCCAUAAAGGAAGAAAACAAGGUAGUCAAGCUCCAUUCACUUGGAACUUUCAAUGGAGACUUCAGUGGAGGUCCUUGGGGAUCAAUUAACCUCGACCAUCCAUCCACUUUUGAUACAUUGGCAAUGGAUCCAAUACUCAAGCAGGAGCUGAUGGAUGACUUGGAUAGAUUUGUUAAGAGAAGGGAUUUCUACAAGAGAAUAGGAAAACCAUGGAAACGUGGGUACUUGUUGUAUGGUCCUCCUGGUACAGGAAAGUCAAGCUUGAUUGCAGCCAUGGCUAACCACCUGAAAUUUGACAUCUACGACCUGGAACUUACAAGUUUGCGCAGCAAUUCAGAUCUGAGAAGAUUGCUAACCUCAACAGCAAAUCGAUCAAUACUUGUAAUUGAGGAUAUUGAUUGUAGCAUUGAGUUGCAGGAUCGACAAUAUGCAGGACACAACAAUGGUGAUAGCCAGUUGACACUAUCUGGAUUGCUCAACUUCAUUGAUGGCUUAUGGUCAAGCUGUGGAGAUGAGAGGAUAAUUGUGUUCACUACCAACCACAAAGACANGAUCCUGCACUACUGAGACCUGGCCGAAUGGACAUGCACAUACACAUGUCCUAUUGCACUGCCAGCGGAUUCAAAAUUCUUGCUUCCAACUACCUCAAAAUCAAGAGUCACUGCCUUUUUACUGUCAUCGAACGACUGAUAGAGGAAGUGGAAGUGACUCCAGCUGAAGUUGCAGAGGAGCUCAUGAAAGUUGAUGAUGAUGUUGAUUCUGCGCUUAAUGGAAUUGUUGGAUUUCUUCAAAGGAAGAAAGAAAUGAAAUGCAAAGAAUCAGAGUCCCAAAUUGAAGAAGACAAAGAAGUGAAUGAAAAUGAAAAGGCAAGGAAAGAAAUGAAGAAGAAAAGUGUGAACAAGAAAUCCAACAAAAAUAAGAGGAAGAAGGCGAAAACAGGGAAAGGAAGAGUUGUGUAGCAAACCAACCAUGCCAUGCGUUUAUACCUGAAGUUUAUUUUCGAGAUAGCCUCCGUAUGUUUUGG